rnacentral:rRNA from 1 species
UACGAAGGGGGCUAGCGUUGCUCGGAAUUACUGGGCGUAAAGCGCACGUAGGCGGCUUCUUAAGUCGGAGGUGAAAUCCUGGAGCUCAACUCCAGAACUGCCUUCGAUACUGGGAAGCUCGAGUCCGGGAGAGGUGAGUGGAACUGCGAGUGUAGAGGUGAAAUUCGUAGAUAUUCGCAAGAACACCAGUGGCGAAGGCGGCUCACUGGCCCAUUACUGACGCUGAGGCACGAAAGCGUGGGGAGCAAACAGG